UACGGAGGAUCCGAGCGUUAUCCGGAUUUAUUGGGUUUAAAGGGAGCGUAGGUGGAUUGUUAAGUCAGUUGUGAAAGUUUGCGGCUCAACCGUAAAAUUGCAGUUGAAACUGGCAGUCUUGAGUACAGUAGAGGAGAGUGGAACUCCAUGUGUAGCGGUGGAAUGCGUAGAUAUAUGGAAGAACACCAGUGGCGAAGGCGGCUCUCUGGUCUGCAACUGACGCUGAGGCUCGAAAGCAUGGGUAGCGAACAGG
rnacentral:rRNA from 1 species